rnacentral:rRNA from 1 species
UACGAAGGGGGCUAGCGUUGUUCGGAAUCACUGGGCGUAAAGCGCGCGUAGGCGGCUUUUCAAGUCAGGGGUGAAAUCCCAUAGCUUAACUGUGGAACUGCCUUUGAAACUGUAAAGCUGGAAUGCAAGAGGGGAUAGCGGAAUUGCUAAUGUAGAGGUGAAAUUCGUAGAUAUUAGCAGGAACACCGGUGGCGAAGGCGGCUAUCUGGAUUGCAAUUGACGCUGAGGCGCGAAAGCAUGGGGAUCAAACAGG